GCCCUCUUUUCCCUCCUCCUCCUUUUCCUCUCUUUUUUCCUUGCGAUAUUUUUUUUCCGAGAGUAUCAUCCUUUCUUUUUUUCUUUUUUUUUUGCGCGGGUCAUCUCUCCCUCCCUCUCUCGUCUGUGUGGCGUUCUCCGGGAUCGAAGAUUCGAAGAGGAAGACGAAGGUUUAGGGUUUCAGUCACCCAAAAUCACCCUCCAGCAGCAGGAAGUCCGGCUCUAAUCCGUCGGAAUCGCCGGUCUCUAGCCGACUGUUCCUGGGGUUCAUCCACUGCCGCCGGAUCCUUUUCCCGGUAUGGUUUCGCCCAUCUAGUUGUUCUCCACGGGUUUCGAUCUCGAGCCGGAGCAGGGUUCCCUACUGCUCCUCUGCCUCUCCCUUCUCCCUUUUACCCGCCCGCCGCACGUCCUCAGCUGGUGUUUUCGCCGGUGUGAAGCUACUGCAACUGCGCGGCCGCUUCCUAAGCUUCGGUUCUCGUCUCUCAGGCCCUAAUUUGUUUCUGUAAGUUAGGAUCGCUGGGGAUUUCUUCUCUUCGGAGGCUGUUGCUCUCGCAAAUGGCUGCUUCCUUGGUGGAAGCUGUCGCUGUAGAGGCGGUGCUCGUCGCCCAGAAGUCAGUUUACUUCUACCCCAUAUUAAGAGAUGAAGGAUGGGCUUCAAUGACUCGAACAAUAGAAACCCCACCAACAUAUAUUUGCAGCCCAUAAGAGACGCCUAAUUUGGUUAUCAUAGAUGAUUCAAAGUUAAGAGACCAAUGCUCACCAUGGUACGUUAAGAACUUGGCAAGUACAAGUGAGCAGCUCAACAGCCAGAGCAGGUCAUUUUCCUCCACGUAUGUGCUUGUUAUGCCUAUGUUCCAUCUUCCAUGACUGCCAUGUUCAGGUAACUACAAAAUUUACCAGUCUUUAUGAGUUCGCUUCUUCCUCAGUUUGCUUCCUUUGGAGAACUUCUUUAGUUAAUUUCUUCCGCUGCAUGACUUACUGAAUUUACCUAUCUUUGUAAGGUCACUUACUCUUUAAUUUGCUUCCUCUGCAGAACUGCUUUGAUCAGUAAAACUCAUAGAAAUUUGUCUUACUCAUUAGUGCCAAAGUGAUAGCUUUUA